CAGCCGCCACGGUAAUACGUAGGUGGCAAGCGUUGUCCGGAAUUAUUGGGCGUAAAGGGCUCGCAGGCGGUUUCUUAAGUCUGAUGUGAAAGCCCCCGGCUCAACCGGGGAGGGUCAUUGGAAACUGGGAAACUUGAGUGCAGAAGAGGAGAGUGGAAUUCCACGUGUAGCGGUGAAAUGCGUAGAGAUGUGGAGGAACACCAGUGGCGAAGGCGACUCUCUGGUCUGUAACUGACGCUGAGGAGCGAAAGAGUGGGGAGCGAACAGGAUUAGAUACCCCGGUAGUCCCUGUCUCUUAUAC
rnacentral:rRNA from 1 species